GACCCUGUCGUCUAACUGGCCAAGACAUCAGACUUUCUAUCGGAUCACUGCGGGUUCGAAUCCCGCCAGGGUUGCCA
rnacentral:tRNA from 1 species